rfam:Asian citrus Psyllid, Diaphorina citri - Florida Strain, whole genome shotgun sequence.
GCCUAGUUAGAUUAGUUGGUAGUGCGUCUGCCUUGUAAGCGCUAGGCCGCGGGUUCGAUUCCCGCCCGGGGCU